rnacentral:tRNA from 1 species
GCAGCCAUCGUCUAACGGUAGGAUGCCGGUCUGCCAGGCCGGAGGUCCGGGUUCAAAUCCCGGUGGCUGCU